rnacentral:lncRNA from 1 species
CGGUCAGGCACCCCAACCAUAGAGUUUCCUACAAUUACCACUAGAGGGAACUCCGGCGCUGUGAUCGUU